rnacentral:rRNA from 1 species
GACGAACGCUGGCGGCGUGCCUAAUACAUGCAAGUUGAGCGCUGAAGGUUGGUACUUGUACCAACUGGAUGAGCAGCGAACGGGUGAGUAAAGCGUGGGGAAUCUGCCUUUGAGCGGGGGACAACAUUUGGAAACGAAUGCUAAUACCGCAUAAAAACUUUAAACACAAGUUUUAAGUUUGAAAGAUGCAAUUGCAUCACUCAAAGAUGAUCCCGCGUUGUAUUAGCUAGUUGGUGAGGUAAAGGAUCACCAAGGCGAGGAUACCUAGCCGACCUGAGAGGGGGAUCGGCCAGAUUGAGACUGAGACACGGGCCAAACGCCUACGGGAGGCAGCAGUAGGGAAUCUUCGGCAAUGGACGAAAGUCUGACCGAGCAACGCCGCGUGAGAGACGAAGGUUUUCGGAUCGUAAAACACUGUUGGUAGAGAAGAACGUUGAUGAGAGUGGAAAGCUCAUCAAGUGACGGUAACUACACAGAAAGGGACGGCUAACUACGUG